UGUGAUCAAUAUUUCAUUUUCUUCAUUUCAUUGUUGCAAAAAAUUAUUUAACUUUUGCAAAAGAAUGUCAUAAAUGUGUAUUUCAUAUGUUGUAAAAGCUUGUUAGGCAUGCCUGGUGACAUCAUAGCAUUCUUAUGUUUAGGGAUUGUUACAUACAAUUUUGUGAAACUUUCCCUGUUUUACAAAACCUAGAUGUUUUACAUGAAAAUUUCACUG
rnacentral:misc_RNA from 1 species